GUYGGGUCGUAGUGAACCUGCGGAAGGAUCAUUACAGUAUUCUUUUUGCCAGCGCUUAAUUGCGCGGUGAAAAAACCUUACACACAGUGUUUUUUGUUAUUACAAGAACUUUUGCUUUGGUCUGGACUAGAAAUAGUUUGGGCCAGAGACUUACUGAACUAAACUUCAAUAUUUAUAUUGAAUUGUUAUUUAUUUAAUUGUCAAUUUGUUGAUUAAAUUCAAAAAAUCUUCAAAACUUUCAACAACGGAUCUCUUGGUUCUCGCAUCGAUGAAGAACGCAGCGAAAUGCGAUAAGUAAUAUGAAUUGCAGAUUUUCGUGAAUCAUCGAAUCUUUGAACGCACAUUGCGCCCUCUGGUAUUCCAGAGGGCAUGCCUGUUUGAGCGUCAUUUCUCUCUCAAACCUUCGGGUUUGGUAUUGAGUGAUACUCUUAGUCGAACUAGGCGUUUGCUUGAAAUGUAUUGGCAUGAGUGGUACUGGAUAGUGCUAUAUGACUUUCAAUGUAUUAGGUUUAUCCAACUCGUUGAAUAGUUUAAUGGUAUAUUUCCUGGUAUUCUAGGCUCGGCCUUACAAUACAACAAACAAGUUUGACCUCAAAUCAGGUAGGACUACCCGCUGAACUUAAGCAUAUCAAUAAGCGGAGGAAAAGAAACCAACAGGGAUUGCCUUAGUAACGGCGAGUGAAGCGGCAAAAGCUCAAAUUUGAAAUCUGGCACCUUCGGUGUCCGAGUUGUAAUUUGAAGAAGGUAACUUUGGAGUUGGCUCUUGUCUAUGUUCCUUGGAACAGGACGUCACAGAGGGUGAGAAUCCCGUGCGAUGAGAUGCCCAAUUCUAUGUAAAGUGCUUUCGAAGAGUCGAGUUGUUUGGGAAUGCAGCUCUAAGUGGGUGGAAAAUUCCAUCUAAAGCUAAAUAUUGGCGAGAGACCGAURGCGUACCAGUCAGUGAUGAAGAUGAAAGGAACUWUGAWGAAGUUAUAGUACGUGAACAUGCCUGCAAGGGUGUAUAGGGCUUUGGAGARAA
rnacentral:rRNA from 1 species